rnacentral:misc_RNA from 1 species
AAACCAUAACUGAACCAAAGUAUCAAAAUAAAUUCAGUUUGGUACGGUUCUUAUCGGUUCGGUCCAAUUCUUCGCUUCGGUUUGGUUCCCCCCAACAACCAUGCACAACCCUAUAGCCAAUCAAAGCAAAUCAGCAUUCAUCAAGAUCAUGAAAUGCAUAGGCCAUCACCCUUAUUACUCAACUGGAAAAGGCAAAGAGUGCUGCUUCUAACAUCAAAUGGAUGUAAAACAUUUGAUUCCCUUGACUAAAGAGGUUUCCUUCUUCCCUUUCAGGAGGCUAGUACAGGCAGCAAGUUGCAAAGAUAAACAACAACAAUGAUACAGUACUGCCUUGUUCUUACAUCACUGCUUGGUAAGGAAGUAAAUGAGAUUGCCAGGUUCUUUAAAAAGCCUUUGUAGCAUGCCUCGCUUAAAUCAAGAUAUCCUCUAAAGAUUGUUCCAUAAGAUUAUCCUGUUUCACUUGUUGGUCUAUCAGAAGGUAUAUAGCUUAUGGAUAAUUGCUGCUUAGUAUGUCACUUUUUGCCAAUAUCAACUUCAACCAUAUCAAUAUUUACAGCCAUAUUAAUGAUCAAUAUUGCAAUAGUAGUUCAAACAUGUCUUCAUCAUGGGAUACCAAUCAGCGCUACAUUUAACUGUAUACCAAUAGAUUUGCGACUCGUUCAUUUGGCCAGACCAGCCCAGCAUUCUGUAUUAGGAGCAGUUACUGGUCUACUAGUUAUCUCAUAAACAAAAUUUUCCAUCAAUAACCAUUCACUAAGUGUGACAGUGGAGACACAUCUCUUCUUAAUGCACUCUAAUAAUCUAGCAGUUUGAUAUUAUCAGUCACAAAAACAACACCUCCUUCAGAUUACAAAAAAAGAAAGAAAACACACACAAAGCCAAUUUAGGGGAUGAGUUUGAGAGAAAUCCAAAGUUGGAUUAGAGAUUAAAGAUCAAGAUAAGCAUGAAUAGUGAACCAAUAAUUAAUUUUCUCUUCUGUUCAACUCCCUCAUAAGACAUAAAGGACAAUAGAACCAAGUCACAAGAAUGUUACUCCCAGAUAUUUCUUCAACACCUUUAUUACUUAUUAAUUAUUAUUCCAUCUCCCAAAACUUACUGCAGGUACAUUUAAUAAUCAUAUUUAGAGCUGAAAGUACCUUCCUAUGAUUCUAAGUAUCUACUGUUCUUUUAGUCUCUCCACUGAAAUAACUAAAAAUAAAUUUAAAAAAGGAUAAAUAAAUAAAUAAACAAAGAGCCUUAUGUUCUAUACACAUUGUAUGCAUAUAUUGAGCCAAUUUUUUAUACAAGUCAUUUGUCAUUAAAACUUAUUAAAUCUCUCCUUCAGAUAACCUUAUGCCAGUUAAUAGUAUGUGAUAUAUGUCAUAGAUUAAGGACUCCAAUCAUUAUCCCACCACAUCCUGCUAAACAUUUCUAUUAGGCAUAAACAACAAAGUUAUCUCACCUUGGCAUCCCAGCAGUAACCUGUGACAUGCUUCCUCUUAGUGAAUAAAUAAAACAGACACCUCCCCUCCCUCUCCCUCCUUCUCAAUCUUUCCUCACUAGUCUAACAUUAAGGUGGACUCCAAUAUUAUCUUACCAACAUAAAGAUGCCUCAGAAUGGGUUCCUAUCUUUGGUCAUUUGAAUCUCCAAUAAAAUUAUGACUAAUUACUUUACAUACAUUGAUAGACAGUUAAAACUUUAGAAUUUACCUAAAAAGACAAAUUUGAAUAUUUUUGUGCAAUCUAUCAGGUAACCAUUGGCUUGUUCCAUGAUAAAGAACAAAUAUCAAAAUUUCAUUACUUUCAGGAUUUUAAAUUGCAAAAUCUCAGAUUUCCUGAUAGAAGCUCGUUGGAGAGGCAAAGUAGACAUCUAUUUCCAAAAGGAUCUUGGAAGCAGAUUGAAAUAUACAAUCAUAUAUUCAAAAUGGGGAGAGAAAAAUAAAAGACCAAUUCUCCUGUAAUCAUGAUAGUUAACAGUAAAUAAAACCCCAGAUAUAGCAAUAGCUAAAUUUUAUAAGAAGCACACAUAAGUUUCCCAUGCAUAAAAAUUAAUGAGACUAAAGUCAAAUAGACUCGGGCAGAAGAAUGAAAGUCUGACUGAUAAAGUACUCAAAAAUAUAAUUACCAUCUCAAGAAAUUCAAUAAAAAAACCUCCAAUGUAUCAUUCAAAAUAAUUGUUCGCUAACUACAUCGCACAUGAUAGUUUGUAAAGGACAAGAUAUAUCUACCUUUCUCUCAUGGGGACACAUGGACAAUUCCAAAAGCCCUGCCCUGCCUCAGCUGCUUUAUCAUCGUAAUGCCUACAAGGGCAAAGUGGCGCACCCAAAGAAUCUUUAUGUUCUGCCAAUCCCUUAAUGACAACAGAAGUGACUCCCUUAUCGACGCAGAAAUAAGUUCCAGACUUACGAGCAUACUGCUCCGAGAACUUCCUCAUUAUCUCCACCGACUUCUCCGAUGGUUCCACUUUGGCUCGAAUUACGGUGGCCGGAGAGCGGCGGAGACGGAAGGUAUUGGGCGGACAUGAGAAGGAGGAGAUGCCACCGAAGCUACAAGAACUGGCUUGGAGAGUCAUGCUGCACCAAAAACAAUCCGUCAAACUGAAAAUCAAAUGCCG